rnacentral:rRNA from 1 species
AAAUUGAAGAGUUUGAUCAUGGCUCAGAUUGAACGCUGGCGGCAGGCCUAACACAUGCAAGUCGAGCGGAAACGAGUUAUCUGAACCUUCGGGGAACGAUAACGGCGUCGAGCGGCGGACGGGUGAGUAAUGCCUAGGAAAUUGCCCUGAUGUGGGGGAUAACCAUUGGAAACGAUGGCUAAUACCGCAUAAUGCCUACGGGCCAAAGAGGGGGACCUUCGGGCCUCUCGCGUCAGGAUAUGCCUAGGUGGGAUUAGCUAGUUGGUGAGGUAAGGGCUCACCAAGGCGACGAUCCCUAGCUGGUCUGAGA